AGUGGCUGACAAGUCCGAAACAGGACGAAAUGCGCAUCCCGGAU
rnacentral:hammerhead_ribozyme from 1 species